rnacentral:rRNA from 1 species
AGUGAACGCUGGCGGUAGGCCUAACACAUGCAAGUCGAGCGGCAGCACAGUAAGCGCGUGCUUCUAAGGGUGGCGAGUGGCGGGCGGGUGAGGCAUACAUCACAAUCUACUUUUUCGGGGGGGAUUACGUAGGGCCGCUGACGCUACUACCGCAUACGACCUACGGCUGGAAGCAGAGGAUCUUGGGAGCUUGCCCGAUUGAAUUAGCCGGUGCCGGAUUAGCUAGUUGGCGAGGUAAGGGCACACCAAGGCGACGAUCCGUAGCUGGCCUGAGAGGAUGAUCAGCCACACUGGAACUGAGACACGGUCCAGACUCCUACGGGAGGCAGCAGUGGGGAAUAUUGGACAAUGGGCGCAAGCCUGAUCCAGCCAUGCCGCGUGGGUGAAGAAGGCCUUCGGGUUGUAAAGCCCUGUUGUUAGGAAAGAACAGCUGCGUGUGAAUACCCCGCUGUUCUGACGGUACCCAAACAGAAAGCACCGGCUAACUUCGUG